AAGGCCUUUACUGACGCUAAAGCUCGAAGGUGCGGGUAUCGAACAGGAUUAGAUACCCUGGUAGUCCGCACGGUAAACGAUGGAUGCCCGCUGUUUGCGAUAUACUGUGAGCGGCCAAGAGAAAUCGUUAAGCAUCCCACCUGGGGAGUACGCCGGCAACGGUGAAACUCAAAGGAAUUGACGGGGGCCCGCACAAGCGGAGGAACAUGUGGUUUAAUUCGAUGAUACGCGAGGAACCUUACCCGGGCUUGAACUGCAGCGGAAGGAUACAGAGAUGUUGACGUCCUUCGGGACCGCUGUGGAGGUGCUGCAUGGUUGUCGUCAGCUCGUGCCGUGAGGUGUCGGCUUAAGUGCCAUAACGAGCGCAACCCCUUUCAUUAGUUGCCAUCACUUCGGGUGGGCACUCUGGUGAUACUGCCACCGUAAGGUGUGAGGAAGGUGGGGAUGACGUCAAAUCAGCACGGCCCUUACGUCCGGGGCUACACACGUGUUACAAUGGGUGAUACAGAUGGCCGGUGCAUGGCAAUGUGCAUCAAAUCUUGAAAGUCAUCCUCAGUUCGGAUUGGGGUCUGCAACCCGACCCCAUGAAGCUGGAUUCGC
rnacentral:rRNA from 1 species